rnacentral:rRNA from 1 species
CCCUUAGAUGUUCUGGGCCGCACGCGUGCUACACUGAACGGUUCAAUGGGUAAGGUAGUGCGAAAGCAUGACCUAAUCUCGAAAUCCGUUCGUGCUGGGGAUAGAAGCUUGCAAUUAUCCUUCUUGAACGAGGAAUACCUUGUAAGCGUGAGUCAUCAUCUCACGCUGAAUACGUCCCUGCCCUUUGUACACACCGCCCGUCGCUCCUACCGAUUGAGUGGUCCGGUGAGGCUUUGGGAUCUGAGCGGAAAGAGCGUUUCGCUGUUUCUGCCCGGAAAACUCAGUCGAACCUUAUCAUUUAGAGGAAGGAGAAGUCGUAACA